rnacentral:lncRNA from 1 species
CUGGGGUAAAAGGGAGAGCUUUCUCCCCUUUGGUACCAUCAUAAACAGAAGAGUAGAAGUGAAGGAUCAAGCAAAGUCGCUCGGUGAAGAAUUUAAAAACAAACACAUUUUAGGGCGUUCCCGUUGCGGUGCAGUGGAAAUGAAUCCAACUAAUAUCCAUGAGGAUGCAGGUUUGAUCCCUGCCUUUCCCACGUGGGUGAGGGAUAUAGUGUUGCUGUGAGCUGUGGUAUAGAUCGAAGGCGAGGCUGGGAUGGAUCCCACGUGGCUGUGGCAUAGGCUGGAAGCCACAGCUCUGAUCCGGCCCCGAGCCUGGGAACUUCCAUGAGGGGGUGCAGCCCUAAAAAGCAAAAAAAAAAAAAAAAAAAAAAAAAAAAAAAAAGAUAAAAUAAAAUAUAAAAACAAAGCCUAUUUUAUUGGUCACAAACUGGGGAUUGCUGUUGGAUAGACACAAUUUGAUCAUUGGCCAUUUCAGUUCAAGUGUAUGUCAAAAGUUGCAUUGCUACCUGAACAGAAUAAAUUUAGAGAAAUGAUAGUAAUAGUUAACAUUUUUGCGAGAACUUAACCACGUGCCAGAAGCUGUGCUAAGCUCUUUACACACCAUCUCCUUUCAUCCUUUGCAAACCCUUAAGGUGCCAAGUUGUCUUGGCAUCCCACGAAUCCCAGUAAAGAAGCUCAGAAAUCUGUGAGAAGGGGCAAAAAUGGGGGACGGGGCUUCUGAUUAGACAAGUGAUAAGCUCGACGUACUGCUGAAAACGUAGAGCGAUUAGAAUGUGGUUUUAAAAGUACUGCAGACAGUCUGUAGUUUCUCUGAUGAGCUGCCUUAAGCCAGAGGUUUUCACAUUGUUCUUCCAGAGCCCGGAAGGAGGCUGCUGUCCAGGCAGGGGGCUGUUAGGUGGUACUGCAGCCCCCCUACCUCGGAUCUAUGGUUCAGGCACAUAGCAUAAUGGAAAUGCAUGUCAAGUUUAUUGGAAGACAGCUUUCGCUCUUGGAAUUGAUGAGCAUGGCAUGGUCUUCUACUGAUAAGUGUGAACAUUAGCUGGUCUGAGCAUAGAUCAGGGGUGUAUGAUCUCUUGCAUACAUUAAAAUGACAUUUCUCAGCCUCCUUUUGUAGACAGGUAUGGCUGUAUGCCUAGGUCUAGCCACAGGGAUGUAAGCAGAGGGGUUCCAGAAGCUGCUUUCUCCCCCUACCCCCUUCGCCUUGCUUCUUGGAACAUUGGAGCAAUGACCAGGGCACAUCCUGGACCAUGAGGACACAGGUGGUGCCCUCGAGAUGCUGAAGCAGGAAACCAGCAGCUGCCUGGGCCCGGGGGACUUGUGGUGCAGUGCUGCCCACCCCUGAGCUUGGGCAGGAGGGAGCCAAGGUCCAUUCUGUUUCAACACCCAUAGGUGUGGGGUUUUCUUCUUCUUUCAGCCAACUGAAUUCUUCUUCUUUUUUUUGUUUUUGUUUUUUUUUUAUGCCACACCCACAGCAUACCACACCCACAGCAUAUGGAGGUUCCCAGGCUAGGGGGCCAAAUCAGAGCUGCAGUUGCCAGCCUACACCACAGCCACAGUAAAGCAGGAUCUGAGCCACCUCUGCGUCCUACACCACAGCUCACGGCAAUGCCGGAUCCUUCACCCACUGAGUGAGGCCAGGGAUCGAACCUGCGUCCUCAUGGAUGCUAGUCAGAUUUGUUACCCACUGCGCCACGAUGGGAACUCCCUGAAUUCUAAAUAGUUUGCUCACUUGUAGAUUAAACAGAAUUUCCUAAGCAAAGCUUUAGUCUCUCUCUCUCUCUGGAUAGUAAGGAAAGGCAUCUUCAUGUUUUCACUCUCCAUCCGAGAGAUCCUCAAAGGACAUUUUGCAGCGUGGAAACUCAGCCUCACAUGGGGAUUGCAUUAUCACCUUACCUACAGGCUCUCCUUCGGGGUGUUACUGGAUGGAUAGCACGGAUGCCAAGACACUGGUGGCAUCUGCUCUUCCCUCAGCCGGGCUUUCUCGGCUUUCUGUGAUUUUGCCCAUGGACGUGCUUUUGUAGGUGCUUGAAGGCUCCAAUCCCUCUGCACCUGGCUCACUUGCCCUCACCCUUCUCCAUCCUGUCUCUAGAUCAGAGGAGCCUUCCUUGAUGCCCUGAAGGGAAAGCCCACGUGUUUUCUUCCUAUCCUCAUAGUAUCUAGGGAGACAGUACCCCUUCAUGUUUCCUUUCAGAGAGGCAGUCUGUCAGAAUGGAUUAUCCAGCGGUAUUUAUGGGGUGCCUGCUGCUUGUCAGGCCACGUGCUGCUUGCUCGAUAGGCAAUGAUGAACCCAAUAGGUGAUCUGCCCCCUGCUCUCUUGGAACUUAGAGUCUAGGGGAAAGCCAACUGAUAAAAAUGCAAAUAAAGGACUUCCUACUGUGGUGCAGGAGCUUAAGGACCUAACGUAAUCUCUCUGAGGAUGCAGGUUUGAUCCCUGUCCUCCUUCAGGGGGUUAAGGAUCUGGUGUUGCCGUGAGCUGUGGUGUAGGUCACAGAUGCGCCUCGGAUCCCUUGUGGCUGUGGCUGUGGUGUAGGCCUCAGCGGCAGCUCCCAUCCACCCCUAGCUCAGGAAGGUCUGUAUGCCACAGGUGUGGCCAUACAAAAAAUGCAAUUCAAAAUCGUCAUCCGUUUUCUGGAGGAAAAGAGAAUGGAAUUCUAUGAGGAAGAAGAGCCAGCUCAGGGAUGAAAUGGGAUAGUUGCGUCAUCUGAGUGGAAGAGGGAUGCAAAUUCUCUCGGAGGAAGUGGCAGACGUGCUAAGAAUCAGCAAUUUGGAGGCCUGAUGAUGGGAUCAGACAGGUUUGAAUUUACACCUGGGUUAUACCACUUCUUCUUCUUAGCUGUGUGACUUUGGGCCAGUCGUUUAACCCCUCUGGGCCUGAAAGGUACGGGAACCUGUCUCAUUAAGUCCAAUGCACAGUGCCUGGCCUAUGCUCAAUCAAUGUGGUCUCUUGUGCUGUUUGAGUGUCUAACAGCCAUCUAGCCGUGGAUGCUCUGAGGGCAGGUUCUUUUCUUUAUUCCUCUUUGUAUCCCAGUCAGAGGAUAUUAGUUGGCAACCCUAAAAGUUAUUCGAAUAAUGCUAAUCAACCUUGCCGGGACUCUCUUAGGUGCCGGACGGCACUUUUUUUUUUUUUUUUUUUUUUUUAAACUCGUGAUUUUAUUCUUUUAUUUUAUUUAUUUAUUUAUUUAUUUUUAUUUUUUUCCUGGACGGUACUCUUAGCACUUCAUCAACUCACUGAACGUUCAUAACUGAUCUGUGAGGCUGAUGCCAUGGUCAGACCUGGAAGGAACUGAGAUCCAGAGAGGUGGCAUCAUCCGCUCAGGGUCAUAUGCUCAGCCCGUGGGCGAACUAAGGUUUCCUCCCAAGCAGCCACCACAUCAGGUUGAUGCUGCCAUGGAUGAAAGAAAUCUCUCCCUCAUUUCAAAGAAAUGCCGCCUCCUUUUGGCCAUGUCCUUGUUAGGGUGUAGGUUCUCCCAAGGUAUGCUAAUCUGGGAAAUGCAUUCCCCUCGAAGAGUGAAAUAAUCACGCCUCUACUCUCUUAGUUACUGUGAUGAAUGCAAAAGUGAAGCAAAUAGAAUUAUAUCCUUCCCCUCUGGCUUGUCAGUAAUGGGGGUCUCCUGGGGGCUUUGGGGGACAUGGAACGUGUGUCUGCACCGAAACGAGACAUCCCUCCCCCGGCGCCUCUGACCACGCUCGCUCCUGCCCCCCUCACCCGCCUCUUCCAGCCCGCAGGCUCCGAACCCCUUGCUCCGCCAGUCCCUCCCUGCCUCUGGCGAGUUCCGCUGUCUUCUUCCCACUUUCUCUCUUAUUAAAACACCUUUACCCGAGGCGUCUGCGAGAUGAGGCGUGUGCCUGCCAGCUCACUCUGGGAAGCCAAACUGCUUAAAUUGCUUCUUUUAUUUUCAAAAAAGUAUAUGUUAUUUGGAAGCGAGGAUGGCCUCACCUUGUCCUUGGGGGCCUGCUGUUCUGGGAUAUUUUGUUGGAAACGGCGGGAGCAGAUAAAGCCUUACCGAUGCACAGCUCCUCUGGUUGCGGGCGUUGUCAUCAACUGCCAAGAGUGCGGUGCCACCGCUGUUCUCUUGAUUAAUGUUUUCCGAGGUGUGGGGAUACAUCUGCCUUUAGCUGCCUGUCCCAAUUAGCCAAUUAUGUGAGGAGGGCAUUGGGGGAUAUGGUUGGAAACAAACCGCUGGCCAACCCCAAGUGGCACUGUCAGAGGGACGUGAUCUCCAGCCCCCCAUUCAACAGCCCAUGGCUGUGCUUUGUCUGGGGCUCAAAGCUGAUCCUGAGCGGAGCAAAUGACAAGGGGGACAGGCAGGGGACACUGGGGAAGCAGUGAGAGAAGGACGGAAGGAAUGGGGGCUGGGCUAGAGUGAGCAAGACCAUUUCGCUAGAGAAUUUCACAGCCCAGUCAUUUAGUAAGUGUUCCCCGGAGGUCCUCCUAGAGGUUUAACUCUGGGUUAAGUUUUGAACAUGAGACUGUAUUAGAAUCUAAAGACCUGGUUUCAGUUUCUAGUUCCAACUGUGUACUAAAGACAGAGGGAUUCUCUGAGAUGUAGCUACUUCUUGUUCGUUUGUUUAUUUGUUUUUGGCCACACUCACAACAUGCAGAAUUUCCCAGGCCAGGAGUUCCUGUUGGGGUGCAGCGGAAAUGAAUCUGAGUAGGAACCCAAGAGAUUGCGGGUUUGAUCCCUGGCCUUGCUCACUGGGUUAAGGAUCCAGUGUUCCUGGGAGCUGUGGUGUAAGUCGAAGAAGUGGCUUGGAUUUAGCGUUGCUGUGGCUCUGGUGAAGGCUGGCGACUCCAGCUCCGAUUCAACCCCUAGCCUGGGAACCUCCAUAUGCCGUGGAUGCGGCCCUAAAAAGCAAAAAAAAAAGAAGUUCCCAGGCCAGGGUUUGAACUCAUGUCAUAGCAGUGACCUGAGCCACAGUAGUGACAAUGCCAGAUCCUUCACCUGCUAAGCCACAGGGGAACUCUUGAGACUUAGUUAUUUCAUCCGUGAAAUGGAAUGGUCAUAUUUCUCAUAGCGCAUCUUAAGCCAGUACGUGUGGUUGCUCGUCAUAGUAACCCAUUUAAGCCAACUUCAUUAAAUCAGAAACUGUUGGAAGGAUGUAUAUGUCUUAAGGGACACAAGGGCAGGAAUGAGGGCUGGUCUCAUGGGGCUUGGAAUCAGGAACUGAGAUGCUAUUCAGAAUGGAGUUUGCUACUCGCUCUCUCUAUUUCUCUCUCUCCAUCUCUCUCUUGCUUUCUUUCUCUCUGCUUUUCUCCAUGCAUUUUCUUCUUCUUUUUUUUUUUUUUCUUUUUAUGGCCGCAUCUGCAGCAUAUGGAGCUUCCCAAGCUAGGGAUCAAAUCAGAGCUGUAGCUGCUGGCCUACACCACAGCCACAGCAACUCAGGAUUUGAGCCGCAUCUGUGGGCUACACCACAGUUCAUGGCAACACCAGAUCCUUAAUCUCCUGAAUGAGGCCAGGGAUCGAACCUGUGUCCUCAUGGAUGCUCGUCAGAUUCGUUUCCGCUGAGCCACGACAGGAACUCCCUCUGUGCCUUUUCUUAAUUCACAUCUCUCUGUCUCUGCCUCUCUGCCUCUGUAUUUCUGUCUCUCUCUUCAUACAGGUCAGAACAUAGAUGCACCUGGUACUCUGGGGCUCUGGAUCUAUAGCCUCACAAGUCCCACAGUCACUGAAUUUCUUGAGUCCAAAUCACACAUACCAGCAAAAGAGGAUCUGGUUGGCUCUGCUUUGGUCAGGGACUUGGACAAACUGGGUGGCAUUCUGCCCAAUCCGUGUGGCGGUGGAGUCGUGCUUAGGAGAAGGGAGUGUGGGCAGACUUUCUAAGAAGAAGUAUCAGGGCAGAGAGUGAUGGAAGAGAGCUCCGCACACUGGGCCCCUGUAAAGAAGCAGCAGGAUGAUGGAGAAUUCCUCAGCAGAACCACUGAGAGCUCAGUGUUGAGUGUAUGUCAGCAAAACUUACUGCAAACGCAGCUUACAAUUCAGGGUGGGGGCAAGACUCAAGCACGCAGGGUCUAAUCCUGCCCAGUCCCUGUGUCAAGAAAACAGGAGCCCAAGGAAUGCCCAUUGUGGCUCAGUGGUAACGAACCUGACUGGUAUCCAUGAGGAACAGGUUCGAUCCCUGGCCUCACUCAGUGGGGUAAGGAUCCAACAUUGCUGUGAGCUGGGGUGUAGGUUGCAGACAUGGUUUGGAUCUAGUGUAGCUGUGGCUAUGGCUGUGGCUGGCAGCUACAGCUCUGAUUUGAUCCCUAGCCUGGGAACUUUCUUAUGGCUCAGGUGCCCUUAAAAAAAAAAA